UACGGAGGGGGCGAGCGUUAUUCGGAAUUAUUGGGCGUAAAGGGCGCGUAGGCGGCUUGAUAAGUCAAAGGUGAAAUCCCUCGGCUCAACUGAGGAACUGCCUUUGAUACUGUCAGGCUUGAGGCCGGGAGGGGGUAGCGGAAUUCCCAGUGUAGCGGUGAAAUGCGUAGAUACUGGGAGGAACACCGGUGGCGAAGGCGGCUACCUGGACCGGUUCUGACGCUGAGGCGCGAAAGCGUGGGUAGCAAACAGG
rnacentral:rRNA from 1 species